GACGAACGCUGGCGGCGUGCUUAACACAUGCAAGUCGAACGGAAAGGCCCCUUUGGGGGUACUCGAGUGGCGAACGGGCGAGUAACACGUGAGUAACCUGCCCUUGACUUCGGGAUAACUUCAGGAAACUGGGGCUAAUACCGGAUAGGAAUCCUUGCUGCAUGGUGGGGGGUGGAAAGCUUCGGCGGUUUGGGAUGGACUCGCGGCUUAUCAGCUUGUUGGUGGGGUAGUGGCUUACCAAGGCUUUGGCGGGUAGCCGGCCUGGGAGGGCGACCGGCCACAUUGGGGCUGGGGUACGGCCCAGACUCCUACGGGGGGCAGCAGGGGGGAAUAUUGCACAAUGGGCGGAAGCCUGAUGCAGCAACGCCGCGUGCGGGAUGACGGCCUUCGGGUUGUAAACCGCUUUCAGCAGGGGCGAAGCUUGUGGUGACGGUACCUGCAGAAGAAGCACCGGCUAACUACGUG
rnacentral:rRNA from 1 species